rnacentral:tRNA from 1 species
GCCCUCGUAGCUCAGCCUGGAUAGAGCACUGGCCUUCUAAGUCAGGGGUCGCAGGUUCAAAUCCUGUCGGGGGCA